AAGAAAUCAGAUCAAGUUCAUCGUUUCUCUCUCUCUUCUUCAACUGACCGAUACAAGUUUUCUCUUCCUAAACUAUAUACACAAUUAAUUGAUCUUCUAUAUUUUUUUGGAUUUUCAAGACAUGCAUGAGGUUUCAGGAUUCAAUCGGAGGAAACUAAAGAUAAGACGCUGAUUUGAGAGAACGUUCAGAAUCAGGCUCUUCCAUGGUUUCGAUGGAAAAAAAAUCCGAAAUAUAACAACGAAAUCAGUUAAGAUUGAUCGUCUCGGAUGUUUCUCACACAUGCAUGAGCUUUGCUAUAUCAAUCUCCGUAAGGUUCAAGAUCAGACGCUGUCAAAUUCAAGAUCGAAUCAUAGAAAAUGAAAUCUUCCCAGUACCAAAAGCAAAUUCAAUAUCCGACUUUGAAACUAAAGUUAACUUCUUCAACUCAAUAGCGAUUAAGAAAAAUAUAAGUUUCUUAAAUUUUAGACUCAUUAUAUGAAAUAAUAAGAUUUUUUUAUGUUGCAGUUUAUGAACUGAAGAGAAACAAAGACGAUGAUCACCUAUAUACCAUGGUCCUACUGGAGUUUUUGUAUUGUAAAUCUAAUAGUAGAUAACCCUCGGUUUAAUUAUAGUUAAAUUUCGGAUUAAGAGAUUGGUUUAGGUUUAAUAUAGGAUGUUGGUUUAAUUUAAGGUAUCCGGUUGUAUUUACUUUGUAGCGUGUAAUAAUAUACAUCAAUUUGAAAAGGUUCAUAGUAAUAAAAUUGAAACCGUCCAAAUUUAAA